GGAAAGGUGGUAUACGGGUAACCGUAUCGAGGGUUCGAAUCCCUUCCUUUCUGCA
rnacentral:tRNA from 1 species